AAUAACCGAAUCGAUUCCGAUGUGCUAUAUUUAAACUGGAAAUCCCAUUACUGAUUUCUGGAGAAAAAUGGAGUAGAUGACAAGUAAGAUAAAGAUAAGCAAUGGACCACAGGGCGCAGCUUGAGAACAAGAAAUACAGGAACUGGGUGAGAGCCGGACUUGGCAUUAAAUAUGUAAAAGACGGCUUGGAACCAUUCUGUGAUCAUCUUGUUAACCAGCAGCAUGUUGAUAUCUUAGAUAAAGUUAAACAGAAACACAAUCUUUCGGCAGUAGCCUGUGGACUCUGCGAUGUACACACACUCCAGCCAGAUCAUGUUCAAAGCAAAAAUAGACAGUGUCCGCUCGGUCAAAUUCAUUGUAACUGUCUACACCCACGCGGGAAAACGUCUUGUCCCAACAACGUAUGUGGUGCUAUAUACGACGAAAUUAUUAGGCGACACGCAUCUACUCCUCCUGCCCCAUACUGGAGAAACACAGACGCUCAUCAGUGGUGUACUGAACCUUGGGCUGUUGCAAAAUGUUUCAUAAAUGCUCCAGGAUAUGAACACAAGAAAAGAGUAACUGAGUUUGACUGUUCCGGUUUGUUGCAUCUGUUGAUUGAUAACAUAGAGUUUCAUCACCAUAUCCAUUGUAUAAUUGAUGGUAAUGAUGCUUUCUCAAGGGUACUUCAACACAGAAACGCCAUAUUUCAUUGUAACAAUAUGGAAAUAGAGGACACAGACAUUGCAAAUUAUAUAGAUGAUAUGAUAGAACUGCUGCAAGAUUAUAAAGAAAUGAAAGAUAGACAGGAAUCUAAAAAUGCGGUCAAGAAAUUGCUUGAGCUAAAGCAGGAAAAGUUUGUAAUAACAACUACAGAUGAAAUGGAAGUCCGUCGUAAUGCAAUGGAUGCAAUCGAAGAGAAGGAAAAGAAUCUUGAACAGAGAAUAGUUGACGCUGCGACUGAAAUUGGCGAAAGUGAAAAACAGAUAAAGGUGAUAGGUUCAACUAUAAAACACGAACUCGCGCAGAAAAGGGUUGAAAUGAAAGAUGAUUUGAGAAAGACCGAAAUCGACUCAAUAGGAAGACUCGAGAAGAAAGAGAAAGAAAUCAAGGAAGUGCUUAGGAUGAAAGAAAUUGAAUCUGCAAAGAAGAUGGAUCAAAAAGAGAGAGAAAGCAAAGAUAAUUUGAGAAAGAUAGAAGUUGAUUUAAAACAGAAAUUGGAACAGAAAGAGUUGCAAAUCAAAAAGAAUUUGAGAGUGACAGAAGUUAACUCAAAAGAGGGACUUAAGCAUGAAGAGAUAGAAAUUAAAAAGAAUUUAAGAGUGGUAGAAUUGGAAUCAAAAGGGAGACUAGAUCAGAAAGGAAAAGAAAUUGAAAAGCAUUUAGAGCGUAAAGGAGAAGAUAUACUUUAUCAGCUGAAAAGAAAACAGUCAGCUCAGAUUCAAAUCGAAGGCAGGCGUAGUGACGACAUUAGUAAGGCAACAGCAGACGAUUUAAUGAAGUCAAGUCCUCGUGAAAGGGCACUGCAGUCUAAUUAUGAAAGAAUGAGAGCAGAACUGAAGGACGAUUUGAUAGAUCUGUACAGGGAAAGGCACCAUACCCUACCGAUGUCACCUUUAAUGGAAGAAAAUGACACGCCUCUUCUUAAGUUUUACGUCAUGCCAGACAUAGAGUCAGUGGAAAUUCAGAGGUCGCGUGGAGGUGGCAAAGAAAUUAGAUCAAAGGUUACGUCAUUGCAUGAUGUUUUCUACAAGGAAAUAGAACCAUGUCGCAAAAUUUACCUUGCUGCGGAUGCUGGGUUUGGGAAAACAGCCUUAAGUAAACGGCUCGUUUUAACGUGGUGUCAUGCCAAAAAAUGUAUCCUAAACGAAGAUGAACAUUUUAAGAAGGAAGACAUUAGUACAAUGUCGAAUUUUGACUUUGUGUUUUUGUUGUCUUUACGUGAUUGUUCCGAAGAAUGGGACAUUGAUGAGAUGAUCAAAAAACAAAUAACUAAUGAUCUAGCACACACUAUUUCAACUAGUGAUUUUGAAAACAUUCUUUCUAAGGAAAGGUGCCUGAUAAUAUUGGAUGGGUUGGACGAAUUCACACACGCAAAAAGUGACAUUCCACACAGGAAAGCUAGGAGGAAAUGUACAAUUCUCACAACAAGUAGACCGUGGAAGUUGGGCGUUAGUAAGAUACGUGCAAGUGAAAUAGAACGAAAGUUGGAACUUAUUGGACUUAGUAAAACGUCUGCUGAAAGUUUAAAAAGGACUGUGAUCUCACUGUUAUGUGGCAAAACUGAUAUAGAAAAACAUAUUCAAGAGUUUGAUCGCGCUAUCAGUGAUAGAGGUAUUUCGGAUUUGGAAACUAUUCCGCUCUUACUGAUGUAUAUUUUGUGUUUAUGGUGUGAUGGAAUAGAGCUAGGAGCAUCUAGAACUGAGUUAUAUUGUCAGACUGUUGAACUGCUUCUUAAACGAACGUUUGAAAAAUAUCCCGACAUGCAACAGUCGCGCGAACAGUCCCAGGGUGAUAUCCCACAAUGUUUCAGUGAACAUGAACAUUGUAAGGAACACUACACAUUUCUGAAAGCUUUAGGACAAUUAGCAAUUGAAACGUUAUUCAUUGAAGACAAAGAAAGCACCCUUGUGUUUAGCCAGUCAGUGACAGAGAAACAUCUAACCUCAGAGUAUUUGAAAUUAAGUCUUAACUCGGGAAUAUUAACACAAAGUACAGAAAAGACACUAACAAAACAAAUUUCGAAAUUUUCGUUUUCGCACAAAACCAUUCAUGAGUUUUUUUGUGCACUGUACAUUAGUUGUCAAAAUGAAAGUGAUGUCAAAAACAUUGUUCUGAACAAAUGCAAAAGUUUGCAGAGUAUUCUUGACAUGUCAACAGUGCUUGUUUUCCUCAGCGGAAUGGUGAAUGCAGAAAUCAUUUCUUCAAUAUCACAGGAAUUUCUUUCUGUUAUCAGCGAAGAUAAGAUAACGAGAGAAUACAGAUCCACGACUGAUGAGGACUGUAAACCUCUGAAAGACAUACAAGACAUGUACAUUUCUUGUAUGAAAGAAAACACGAGCGAUAAGGAACUCAAACUUUUCUGUCAAGAUUUUUUCUUUAGUGAAGAUUGUGAAGAAGAAAAAUACUUCUCAUAUUUAGCACAGCUCGCGGGUCACAAUAAAAACAACAUGGCGUCAAUAAAUAUCAACACAGGAUACCGUUGUCGUAGUUUACGUGAAAUUAUUGAUUGUUGUGAAUUGCACGAACUGUUCCAGAUCAAUAAAAUAUUCUACUUCGGUGAAGAAGAAAACGCACAGCUUCCUGUACUGUUGGACAAGUCGCCGAAAUGUGUCGCUGUUAGAUCGUCUGAUCUAGAUGGUUCUUGGAGCCGUGAAAUGUUGGAAACAUUACAGAAUAAUUCUCUGUUACAAGCAAUUUAUAUCUUAGGUUUCAAGAUGAGUCACGAUGUACUGAAUGACUUUCUGAAUUAUAUUAUAAACAGAAAAACAAUGACGGAGAUUAGAUUGUGGUACUUAUACUGUACCGAGCAUGGGUGGUCGUGUACUUUCAGUUUAGAUUUUAGUCAGCAUUCAGAUCUAAGGAAGUUAGAAUUAUGGGAGAUACCUAAAGUGUCACAAUUCAAAGUUAAUAGUCAAGUGAAACACGUGGAUUUGUACAGUAUCAAUCUAGGUGAAAUGUCGCUGCCUCCUGAAAUGGCGAAUAUUGAAAGUGUUGUUUUAUGGGGUGUAAACAUGUUUGCUUCAACAUUACGUGAUCUCGUUAAGGUAGUGGAGAAACUUUCACACAAAGUCACAGUAAAAAUAUACUGGUAUAAGAUAGAACCGGAAACAGAGUUUGAACACGUUAAACAAUAUAUACACUCAUCUCAGAAUUUCCGAGUUACGGAGGAUGAUAGGAGGUUGGUGUUUGAAACAAAAGUUGAAAGUUAAGUUACUAAAUAAACUCAGACUUAUAGUGUAAAUAUUUUGUAAACAUUACUUUAAAAAUAUGUUACACAAAAUUUAACACAUAGCAUAUGACAUAUAUUUGUGUAUAUAAAUACACGCGUGUUAAAAUAGAUAGUGCCAACAAAAUUCUUGGAAAUGGAAGGAAAAUAUGGAUGUUCUAAUAUACAAGGAUUAUACACAAGUCCAGUUUUCCUCUAUACUUCAGUUAAAAGAUCGACGCCAACACCUCAAAACCAUAGACGUACUUCCUGUAUCAAGGCUACGUAUACAUCGCCAUAUUAUACGUGAAUUUACAAAUUGCCGCAAUGCUUCUAGAACUUCCGGUGGCUUACCUACAUACACCAUAACAUACUUGGCAUGACCUCUUGUUUCCGGCCAUUGGACAACAAAAACUUGCAGGAGUAUAACCGUAUUAUACCCAGAAGUCUGUGAGAAAAACUGCUUUCAAUUAUUACUUUUUAUUACCAAAGACAAAUACAUUGUACUGUUUUACUUAAAUUAGUUGGUCAAGAAAUGUCUUAUUUUCACUUGUCGCAAAUCGCUUUUUGAAUUAAAGUUUUGUACAAAUGUAUGUACGUAUGUGGAAGUGUUUAAAGUAGUCACGCGCGCUGUCGUAAGUCAACCUUUUUUUGAGAAAAAAGCUUGAUUUGGCUUCAUGUUGAUGCUAAUUGCUAACAAUGUUUUAUUGUUAUUUAAGGACAUUUAGUUUUAAAAUGUCUUGAAAUGGCCGUUUUAUGGCAUACACAAUGUACAUGUACAAUGAAAUUUGCUAUGUUUGACAUACCACGGCGAGGAAAAUACAUUUUUACGGAAUUGUUUAAAUAUUAAAUGUAUUUUGUUCUAAGAAACAAAUAUAUUGUGAGGCAUGUUUUUAUGUCGUUUCCAUAAUCAGUAUUUGUUUGCAUAGCCCGUAGCCAUAUUCAAUAACAUUUAAUAUUUUCAAGCUGGAGUCCUGUAAAAAGGGAUAUUAUAUGUACUCUCUGUAGAAAAUAAAUUGUUUCUGGCAGACGACAUUCAUAAUUUCACUGGGAAGAACAUAGGACCGUUACAAUAUCAAUUAUGUAUAAACGAAGACCUUGUAGAGUACGUAGCGGACUUUUCAUAAUUUUGAUUAAAAGUUAAAACUAGGAAUUAUUUUUAUGCCCCCGGCAUCUAAUGAUGCGGGAGGCAUAUAGUGAUCGUCCUGUCUGUUCGUCCGUUUGUCCGUCCGUACGAGGUUAA
rnacentral:misc_RNA from 1 species